rnacentral:tRNA from 1 species
GGCCCUCUGGCGCAACGGUAGCGCGUUCGACUCCAGCUUCAGCAUCCAGAUGCAGUUCUGAAGGCAUCGAAAGGUUAUCUGUUCAAAUCAGGUGGGGGUCA